CACUAUAAUCGUCAAGACUUCUACUAUGUGGCUAACGAGAAGAGAGAAGGGCAUGAAAGAAAUACGUCAAGGCUUGAGCGUGAAGGAAAGAAGUAAUGUAGGGGAGCAAACUAAAAGAAGAGGAGGAUCUUCUUGGGAAGAAAGAAGAAAGGAGGAGGGCCAAAGUAAAAAAAGACAGAACAGAGGAGGGGAUCAAAAAUCCCUAGCGCAGCCGAUCCCCAUCAGGCCUGCAUCUCACCUCUCUCCCUCACCCCUCCUUCUCCACCACCGGCCGUCGCCGCGGCCAGGCCGGCGUGGCGGUGCGCCUGCUGCUCCUCCACUCAGCCACGAGCACCAUCCGCCGCACCAUCCAUCCAUCCCAGCCGCGCCGUGCCAUCCAUCCACCACUCCACCAGCGUCACUAGCUCCACUUCACCACCGCGCCUCACCAGCGCCCACCUCGCGCGCCCCUCCUGCCGCUUCCUCUCUGAACCCGCUGUUGCUGCUGCAUCUUCCUUCUUCCUCUCGACCUCCUGUUGCUCUUCUCCAAGCACCGCUGCUGCUCCUUCCUUGCAACCCCCCUGCUGUUGUUCAUCCUCUCCACCUCCUUGCGCCUCCCUGCCGGUACCCUUCUCUGCUCAAAACUGCUGCUGCUUGUGCACUCCAGCUUCUCCUUCUUCUCCUGCCUACUGCUGGUUCUUCUUCCCCACAUCACUUUUGCUGCUCCUCUUCUCUGCCUCGCUACUGUUCUUCUUACCUGAACCUCAAAAUUGCUGCUGUUCUCUUCUAAACAACAAAACUGCUGCUACUACUACCUCAACCUCCUAUUGCUUUCUUUCUUUCUCACUCUCUUUUAAAUUUCUGUAAGAUUGAGACGCAUGUGAUUUGUAUUAUUCAGAUUUGAUAAGUGUUAGUAAUCUACUGUUGUUCAGUUCAGACUUCCUGUGUGUGUUAAUUAGUUAAAAUUGUCACUUGUGUACUGCUUGUUGCAGAUUCUUGCUCAUUUUUGUUGUCUAUGUGUUAGCUCAUGCAUCUGAGAAUUAUAAAGACAUAUGUGUGUGUGGUUGAUGUGAAACAAUUAUAUAUAUGUCUCAUGUUUGUUAGUUAGUGGUUUGUAUAAAUUCAGAUUACUACUUGUGAUUUAAUUUUGUAUUGAAAUUGUUCUCUGUGGUAGUCAGUUGUGUGAUCAUUCAAUUUUCAGUCUAUGUAUUAGCUCUGUACCUGUAAUAUAUGUUGUGACAUGAAGCAUUUUCAUCCUUGUCCAUUAUCUUGUUUCUUCACUCUGUCAUACGCUUGUUAGAUAAAUAUAUGUGUUCAUGUCCUGUUGUUCCCUUUUGUGUUAGCAUUUUAGUUUCUCAAGUAACAGGAAAACACCAAAAAAGACAAUAUAGACAAUCUGAACCUCCCCUUUGCUUAUUUUACAUUUUCUUUGGCGACGAUCUUCGGGAACUACCUUGUUAGUUUAGGUUUAUUUUCUUGCAUUUAUAAUCUGAGUUCUGUCACCUAGCUUUAGCCGAGCAUUGUUGCUGUCGCCUAGUCCCUGUGGAGAACACGACACUCACAGUUCGGGUGAAAUAUCCCGCAGUACUUUCAAUCGAUCAUUUUGGCGCCGUUGCCGGGGACUAGCGUCGUGUGACCGUGUUAGGCUAUAGACUAGGUUUUGCUUCUGUUUCUAUCUGGUGCCAUAUAUUUGUGAUAUAUCUCUUACCCCUAACCACUGUUCUAGUUAUCUUCUCUUUCUUUUCUUGUUCAUUUUGUAGGUUGAAUUGUCUUCUCGGAUAUGGCUUACUAUUCAGAUCAUCAUGCUUAUGCGAGCAACACUACAAACAACACGGAAAGUAUUCAAGAACUGAUAAGUAAGAUUUCCCAUCAAUUAGAUGAUUUAGCUCAGCAGCGAGGAGUAGUUUUUGAGGAUAGGCCUAGUUCUUAUUAUCCUUAUUCCGGAAGCAAUCCUUAUGUUGCUCCUACAUGCCAUAUUUGUGGAUUUCAGGGCCAUUCGCCCGCUGAAUGUCAGCGUGGUUACUCUCACACUCCAGAUUGUUUUGGCAUGAGCUUCGCUCAAGAGCAUAGCUCAUACCAAAACAAUUACUCACAUGGGUGUCCUGAAAACCCGAAUAUGUCAUAUAGGAGCAACAACCCCGAGAUCUCACCGCUUGCUUCUAGUAAUCAUAUGCAGGGAUUUAGGUAUGAAGAGGAGAGCCACAGCUAUGCUCCACAACAGUCUUAUUCAGCUCCUAUUCAUAUACCUCAGCACGAGGAGAUGUUGCCAAUGGAGUUAAAUGGUCCUCCAUUUGGUCAACCAACACCUUCAACACAAGUGCCUACUCAAGAUGAGUUUGAUGACAUAGACAAGUUCACACUUUUGAGUCUUGAGUUCAGUUGGAGUGCCGAGGAUGAUCCUAUUAGGAAGGUUAUACUAGAUGAAAUGAAGAAGAUCAAGAGUGGGAAUGAGCUAGUGGAAGAAGUAAAGAAGAUUGAGAAGAACAUCAACGCUGGCAGCUCUAUUUCUUCACAGCUAGAGCUGAGUGUUGCUGAGAUUCCCCUUGAUACAUGUGAGGUUCCAACACCUUCACAUUUCGUUGAGCAAGUUAGCAAGUGCCUUGAGCAAGAGAUACCUCAGAUUGAAGAAGAUGAACUAGAAGACAAGGACCAAGAUGGUCAAGAGCUGCAAUUCCCAAGUGAUCAAGUUGAAGACUCAUCAUCUACUACUGAAGAACUACAAGAAGCUGCUGUAGAUAAAGAUGAAGAUCAUGAGAUUCAUUUGCCUAUUGUCAUACCAGAGCGUGAUGUGUCAGGUUUACUCAAUCCUCUUGAUGACAUGAUGCCUUGUGAUUUCUUUGCUACUACCUUGCUUUACAUGAUACUAUCACUUAAGAUUGAUUUGAAAACUCAUUUGCUUGGAUAUGAUGAUAUAUACCCUGUUAGUGGUAUUACUCUCAUUUGUGAUGAUCAUAGUUACUUUCCUCGUGCUAAUCCUAUGCUUAAUGAAACAUAUCACUCCCAUGCUAGUCUUGCACUUAAUGAUAAAUGUCAUCCUCGUGUGAGUAUUGACCAUGCUGAUUUCUGCCAUCCUAAACAUGUGCUUUAUAGUUAUGCUUAUAUAAUUGGAUAUUCCAUUGAUGACUUGGAGGGCAUCGACCGUAUCACUUGUAGUUGUUUGUGUGAGUCCUAUUUCAGGCUUUUGCUACUGCACUGUUUACUACAUGCUGACCAGGUUUGAGGUGACAUUCCUUGGGAUCCUGGUGGAGUCACAGCAUGGCGAUGAGGGGAGCACAAACAGGGAACACAAACAGAGAAGAGUGGAGAGAAGAAAGUAGGAGAGAAGAGUAUACAAAUACCAGGUGAUUCUGUUCCACUUGAAGCAACCUUUAGAAAAUUUAGUACGAGAACUGGCAUUUUAUUGCAUUGAAACGCUUUUUGCAUUGUGACACCUUACUCUUCACUGCAAAGUAGGAUUCACUCCAAGAAGAUUGUUGAUUCUCUUAAUACUAAAACUAUGCAGCAGUAUUCUUCUUAUGGUAAUUUGUGAUAAUGAAUACUUUAUACCUCCAUGUAAAUGUUCAAUGGGAAUGCCUUGAGUCUAAGUGAAACCUACUAAUGAAUUGAUGUGCUGUGUCUGACUGUCCCACGUUAAGCUAAGUAACUGGUGGCACUUAAGUAGUAGCUAUGAUCUCUGGAUCUGUAGUAUGUGAAAAACAGUGCCAUUAGUUAUGGAUUCCUCUUUCAAUUAUUCCUGUUUUACUUAAGCUAAGUAAUUUUCAAAUAACUAAAUAAAAUAAUUAUAAUAUUUUAAGUCCGAUCGACCUAUAGUAGCAUGUCAUGUUCCCUGGAUCGGUGGCUUGUGAAAUCUGGUAGAUUGGACUCUAAAAAAAAAUUAUAUAAAAAUGCUAUAAUUUGUCGAACCAGGUGUAUACCAUGUUCUCGGGAUCGGUGGUAUGUUCCUUUGGGGAGAUAACAAAAAAAUAUACUAAUAAUUUGGUCGAGCCAGGUGUAUACCAUGUUCUCGGGAUCGGUGGUAUGUUCCUUUGGUGAGACUGAUAUAAUAUCAUCACUUGUGCUUUAAAUUCAAUAAGUAACUUGUUUUUCUAAUUGAUUUUGGGGUCCCAGCUUAUCUCAGGGCUGAAGACAGAGCCAGCUCUUGAUUAUUAGUAUUCACUUUGACUCAAGGCCAUUGACUUGGAACAUUUACAGUGUGUUAUAAAAUAUUUCUUAUCACAAUUUAGCUUCAGUAGAGUACAUUUGCUUAGUUCCAGUAUUGUCGGAAUUACUAUCUAUCGGAAAGUGCAUAUUUACUAGGCAGUGUGAGUUGUGUCACCAUCAAAUUUUUUUUCCUUUGCUCGAGGACAAGCAAAGAUUUAAGUGUGGGGGAACUUGAUAAGCACAUUUCUUAUAUACUAUUUGGGCACACAAAUUCACCUUUUAUUGAGAUAUAUCCAUCCAUUCUUGCUAUGACUUGUUGAAUAUUUGAAUGAUAACCAUAAAAGAGAAUGUUGACUAGUGAAUUGUUUAUUUUGCAGAAAAGUGCGCAAAUGCACUAUAAUCGUCAAGACUUCUACUAUGUGGCUAACGAGAAGAGAGAAGGGCAUGAAAGAAAUACGUCAAGGCUUGAGCGUGAAGGAAAGAAGUAAUGUAGGGGAGCAAACUAAAAGAAGAGGAGGAUCUUCUUGGGAAGAAAGAAGAAAGGAGGAGGGCCAAAGUAAAAAAAGACAAAACAGAGGAGGGGAUCAAAAAUCCCUAGCGCAGCCGAUCCCCAUCAGGCCUCGCAUCUCACCUCUCUCCCUCACCCCUCCUUCUCCACCACCGGCCGUCGCCGCGGCCAGGCCGGCGUGGCGGUGCGCCUGCUGCUCCUCCACUCAGCCACGAGCACCAUCCGCCGCACCAUCCAUCCAUCCCAGCCGCGCCGCGCCAUCCAUCCACCACUCCACCAGCGUCACCAGCUCCACUUCACCACCGCGCCUCCACCAGCGCCCACCUCGCGCGCCCCUCCUGCCGCUUCCUCUCUGAACCUGCUAUUGCUGCUGCAUCUUCCUUCUUCCUCUUGACCUCCUGUUGCUCUUCUCCAAGCACCGCUGCUGCUCCUUCCUUGCAACCCCCCUGUUGUUGUUCAUCCUCUCCACCUCCUUGCGCCUCCCUGCCGGUACCCUUCUCUGCUGAAAACUGCUGCUGCUUGUGCGCUCCAGCUGCUCCUUCUUCUCCUGCCUACUGCUAGUUCUUCUUCCCCACAUCACUUUUGCUGCUCCUCUUCUCUGCCUCGCUACUGUUCUUCUUACCUGAACCUCAAAAUUGUUGCUGUUCUCUUCUAAACAACAAAACUGCUGCUACUACUACCUCAACCUCCUGUUGCUUUCUUUCUUUCUCACUCUCUUUGAAAUUUCUGUAAGAUUGAGACGCAUAUGAUUUGUAUUAUUCAGAUUUGAUAAGUGUUAGUAAUCUACUGUUGUUCAGUUCAGACUUCCUGUGUGUGUUAAUUAGUUAAAAUUGUCACUUCUGUACUGCUUGUUGCAGAUUCUUGAUCAUUUUUGUUAUCUAUGUGUUAGCUCAUGCAUCUGAGAAUUAUAAAGACUGUGUGGUUGAUGUGAAACAAUUAUAUAUAUGUCUCCUGUUUGUUAGUUAGUGGUUUGUAUAAAUUCGGAUUACUACUUGUGAUUUAAUUUUGUAUUGAAAUUGUUCUCUGUGGUAGUCAGUUGUGUGAUCAUUCAAUUUUCAGUCUAUGUAUUAGCUCUGUACCUGUAAUAUAUGUUGUGACAUGAAGCAUUUUCAUCCUUGUCCAUUAUCUUGUUUCUUCACUCUGUCAUACGCUUGUUAGAUAAAUAUAUGUGUUCAUGUCCUGUUGUUCCCUUUUGUGUUAGCAUUUUAGUUUCUCAAGUAAUAGGAAAACACCAAAAAAGACAAUACAGACAAUCUGAACUUCCCCUUUGCUUAUUUUACAUUUUCUUUGGCGACGAUCUUCGGGAACUACCUUGUUUAGUUUAGGUUUAUUUUCUUGCAUUUAUAAUCUGAGUUCUGUCACCUAGCUUUAGCCGAGCAUUGUUGCUGUCGCCUAGUCCCUG
rnacentral:lncRNA from 1 species